ensembl:lncRNA
AUGGAGUAAGCCGGCAACAGUGUUUUGAGAAGUCUGUAAGAGAGUGUUUGCUGUGAGAUAACCACAGAGCACAAAGUUAGGCGUAGUUGACACUGACUAGCGAGCCAAUCCUGAGCUCCACUUUAGCAGUAUGUAUGAGAACUAGGAACAAAACAGGAUGCCAAUGGAGUAAGCCGGCAACAGUGUUUUGAGAAGUCUGUAAGAGAGUGUUUGCUGUGAGAUAACCACAGAGCACAAAGUUAGGCGUAGUUGACACUGACUAGCGAGCCAAUCCUGAGCUCCACUUUAGCAGUAUGUAUGAGCCUAUUAUCCACACUAUAAAUGUACAUGCAGCUGAAACAAUAAACGAGAUUUGCUGAUUAUCUACUAUGGCCGUCGCAUUUCUCCCGCUGAUUUCCUACACUGGAGGAAAGCGCAGAGACGAGGCUUGAGUUAAACACGUCGGAAAAGAAGAGAGAGAGAAACAAUCAAGAGAGAUCACGUCAGGGAAGCGAAGGUAAGCUCAAAGGAAAGGGAAGGGCAUGGCGCCAAGGAAGCGAAAGGAAGGGAGGGAAAAGGAGCGUGAAAAGAAAGGAAAAGGAGAGGAAAGCCAUGGAAAGCAAAGAAAAUCCAUUUCAAAGGAAGAGAAAAGGAAUCCACCAAGCAAGGCAUGCAAGGCAUGCAAAGAAAGGAACCGCGCGGUAAAGAAGCAACAGCAAUGAAAAACAAACAAUGCAAAAGCCGAGCCAGAGGAGCAGCAGAGAAAAGUCAUCUGCAAAUGCAAAGAAAGGAAAGGAACACAGCAAAGCAAAGCAAGGCAAGGCAAAACCAAUUAGAAAGAUAGGAAAGAAAAAGGCUACAAAGCAAAGGAAAACAACACAGAGAGAAAAGGCCCAUCGGACAGCUUGGCGCAGCAUAGCAAAGCACAGCCAAAGAUAAACGAAAGAAAGAAAACUUGAAGCAUUCCACGGAAAUAGCACGCACAACUGCCUCCUGAAAAGCCAAAUUCAAAACAAAGCAGGUGAAAAAGCCAACCAGGGGAGGAUCCAUUGGGACCUACCCCAACACAAAGAAAUGCCUGGUAGCAACAGCCCGGGAGAACUCACAGCUGGCUGCUGACAAUUUUGCCACCUGACCCAGAAGGCCUGCACGAGGCAGCACAUGCUGAGGAACAGGUCGGUCCCUGGCUGCCACAGCACCUCGGCAGGAGGGGAAACAUCUUGCUGAAAUGGCAACAUG